rnacentral:SRP_RNA from 1 species
GCCGGGUGUGGUGGCACAUGCCUGUAGUCCCAGCUACUCAGGAGGCUGAAGUAGGAGGAUCGCUUGAGCCCAGGAGUUCUGGGCUAUAGUGUGCUAUAACAGUCGAGUGUGCACACUAAGUUCAGCAUCAAUAUGGUGACCUCCCAGGAGUGAGGGGCCACCAGGUUGUCUAAGGAGGGGUGAACCAGCCUAGGUCAGAAACGGAGCAGGUCAAAACUCCCGUGCUGAUCAGUAGUGGGAUCGUGCCUGUGAAUAGCCCCUGCACUCCAGCUUGGGCAACAUAGUGAGACCCUGUCUCU